AAGAGUUGGGCCUGCUCGGUGAUUAAUAUUUAACAGCUGCGGUAUUAUAACUGUACUAAGGUAGCAUAAUAAUUUGCCUUAUAAAUUAGGGCUAGAAUGAAUGGUUUGACGAAAAUUAAACUGUCUCUAUUUUAUUUAUUAGAAAUUAAUUUUUAUAGUGAAAAAGCUUGAAUAAUUUAAAGGGACGAAAAGACCCUAUUGAGCUUAUAUUAAUUGGUUAAUAUAUAUAUAUAUAUAUAUAUAUAUUAACUGGAAUUAUUUUUGGUUGGGGUGAUCAAAGAAUAAUAAUUAUGUUUAAGAUAACUUCUUUAGUAUAAUAAUUUUAAUAGAUUAAUAAACCAAGUUUUUUGCUUAUAAGAUAAGUUACCAUAGGGAUAACAGCGUAAUUUUUUUUGAGAGUUCUUAUUGAAAAAAGAGAUUGCGACCUCGAUGUUGGAUUAAAAAUAACCUUAAGG
rnacentral:rRNA from 1 species